rnacentral:rRNA from 1 species
GAUGAACGCUGGCGGCGUGCCUAAUACAUGCAAGCCGAACGCUUCACUUCGGUGAAGAGUGGCGAACGGGUGAGUAAUACAUAAGUAACCUGGCAUCUACAGGGGGAUAACUGAUGGAAACGUCAGCUAAGACCGCAUAGGUGUAGAGAUCGCAUGAACUCUAUAUGAAAAGUGCUACGGGACUGGUAGAUGAUGGACGUAUGGCGCAUUAGCUGGUUGGUAGGGUAACGGCCUACCAAGGCGACGAUGCGUAGCCGAACUGAGAGGGUGACCGGCCACACUGGGACUGAGACACGGCCCAGACUCCUACGGGAGGCAGCAGUAGGGAAUUUUCGGCAAUGGGGGAAACCCUGACCGAGCAACGCCGCGUGAAGGAAGAAGUAAUUCGUUAUGUAAACUUCUGUCAUAGAGGAAGAACGGUGGAUAUAGGGAAUGAUAUCCAAGUGACGGUACUCUAUAAGAAAGCCACGGCUAACUACGUGCCAGCCGCCGCAGUAACAC